CCUACGGGUGACAGCAGUGGGGAAUAUUGGACAAUGGGGGCAACCCUGAUCCAGCCAUGCCGCGUGUGUGAAGAAGGCCCUCGGGUUGUAAAGCACUUUCAGUGAGGAAGAACGCCUGGUGGUUAAUACCCAUCAGGAAAGACAUCACUCACAGAAGAAGCACCGGCUAACUCCGUGCCAGCAGCCGCGGUAAUACGGAGGGUGCGAGCGUUAAUCGGAAUUACUGGGCGUAAAGCGCGCGUAGGUGGCUUGAUAAGCCGGUUGUGAAAGCCCCGGGCUCAACCUGGGAACGGCAUCCGGAACUGUCAAGCUAGAGUGCAGGAGAGGAAGGUAGAAUUCCCGGUGUAGCGGUGAAAUGCGUAGAGAUCGGGAGGAAUACCAGUGGCGAAGGCGGCCUUCUGGACUGACACUGACACUGAGGUGCGAAAGCGUGGGUAGCAAACAGGAUUAGAUACCCUAGUAGUC
rnacentral:rRNA from 1 species